UUUUUUUUUUUUUUUGUAGAAUUUUGGGCAACACCAAGUAUUCAAACUUGUCGAGGAUGUAGACAGAAACAAAUAGUAUAUCAAAGAUGCAUGAAAUGAACCACCAAAUGAUAAGCUCCAAUGGCCAUAAUAUUUGCAGAAUUUUGUCAAAAAGCAUGAUAACAAUAUAUUAAAAGAUAAAACAUACGAUAAUAUCUGUAGAAUCUUGUCAUGACCACUGAUGUUUUUUUCUUUCCUUUUGAUGAUGGUUACCAGGCUGUGUCAACCCAGUAGUCAUCAAUUUUUUUUAAAAAAAAAAUUCCAAGUGGCAGCCCAACAACCCAACAAUUUUUUGAAAAAAUUUCGUAGCCUGUCGGACUUAUUAAGCCCGGCAGGCAUAGUUUGAUGCCUUCCGUUUGUCAUAUCAAUACUUGCACGACUUUUUUUGAGCAAUAAAUGAAGGAAUUAGCCCAUUUAAAGAGAUACAACUAUAAACAUAUUUCUAAUGGUUAAUAACUAUUUAGGGGACAUGAAACCUUAUUCAUGUCGAUCAAUUUGUGGUCUUUUGGUUGCAAACAAAAAGAUUUACAAACUCUAAAAAAAUUUUUGCUAUUCUCUUCUUUGUUUUUCGGAGAUUGUAACAUCUUAAUGCAGAGUUUUGCAACCAAAUUUCAUCUUAUCUUAGAGAAUAUUCGUCCUUGAUCUUUUACACAUGGUAGUGGACAAAGAAAGUUUUAAGGAAAGUGAUUUGUAAUCACGAUUUGAAACAUUUUCUUGUUAGUUUUAGGACUAUUUUAUAGUAUUCUCUUUGUUGUUAUUCCAACAAUCUUAAAGUUUUAUUCCUCCUUUGAAAUAGUAAGUACUAUAAAUGAUUUAGUUUCUAAUAUUGUUAAACUCAACCGUUUAGAUGGAGGAAAUUUCAUUCGUUAGAACAAGUGCAUUUCCUUCUUGUGACCCUCAUAGUGGUGUACGUUCUAACUAUUUCAAGGCCUGCAACAAAUGAUGAAGAAGAGACGUUGGAUGACAUCUGCAAUAAGCGAAAAUGGUACACGAAUGAUGAGAUAUGUGAGGGGACACAUUUUCAAUGCAAUGAGUAUCGAACUUUUUGAUGUGUAUCAUUCGGUGAUAACAGUCAAGGAACUUUGAAGCAAGUUAGAAGCAUGGUACACGAGAGAGGAUACAACAAAUAAAAAAAUUUUUGUCUCUUAUUUCUUUAACUACAAAAUGAUAGACAAGAGGCCUGUUAUGGAUCAAUUUGUUGAACUUGAAAAGAUGUUUAAUCAUUUUUCUCAACACAAUACGUUUAUGGAUGAAACAAUUGUUGUUAGUUCCAUAAUUGAUAAACUACCACCCUCUUGGAAGGAUUUCAAGAGAAAUCUCAAACAUUAAAAAGGAGAGAUCGUUCAUGAAAGUCUUGCUAACACUUUUCGUGUUGAGGAAGAGUUUAGAAUGUAAGAGAACAAAAGAAGUGGUGAUUAAAAUAUCCAAAGGGAUGGGAUUGAAAUCCAAUCCAAGAAUCACUAACAAUGGAAUCUUAAUUCAACACUAGUUAUAAUAACAAACCUUGAAUUCAACGAGUGAAAGUAUAUUGAUAUAGUGGUUUGAACACUACAAAAGAUGCUGAAAGGUGUAGUGUGAUUUUUUCCGUUUGAAAUUGGAAGGUGCAUUUAGAAUUCUUAACAAGUCUUGUAAAAUGCUACAAAUGACGGGGCAUUAAGAGUUUGCUUAUAUGAAUGUUGGAUUGAUGGCAUCCAAAAAAUUUUGGACUUAACUUUGAACACAUUCAUAAAAAGAUAGGGAUACAAGGCCUAAUGUAUCACUUGUAUACACAAAUUGAACAGAAGUGAAUUUGUAUGUAUUCAUUUAUGUGACUUGUUGCAUAUAUUUUUUGUUCGAAACUUAUCUACCAAGAAGUAUUAACAAGUUAUAAUCAAUAAACACUGAGAUGGUGGUUCAAUUGAAAGAUACCAUUGUUUAUGCAUAGAUUAUUAGAAUUUUUUAGUUAUUCGUAAAAAAAUUUUCAAUAUGUUAAAAAUGGUGGGAGAUUGUUAGAAUAUUUUUAAAUAUUGAAAAUCCGGGCAGAAUUCUAAAAGUAGCUUUUUACAUUUCAUUCGUAACCUUUCAAGUUUCAACCGUCAUUUAAAAAGAUGCAACUCUAAACAUGUUUCUAACGAAUAAUAACUAUUUAGGGGAUAUGAAACGUUAUUUAUGCAGAUCAAUUUGUGAUCUUUUAGUUAUAGACAAAAAGAUUUACAAAUUCUAUAAAAAUUUCUGCUCACCUCUUCUUUGUUCUUUGAGGAUUGUAACAAUUUAGUGCAGAAUUUUGCAAUCAAAGUUCAUCUUAUUCUAAAAGAUAUUCACCCUUAAUCUCUUACACAUUAUAGUGGAAUAAUAAAACCUUAAGGAAAGUGAGUUGUAAUGACGCCUUGAUUUGAAGACUUCUCAUUAGUUUUGCAGUCAUUUUAUAGUAUUCUCUUUGUUGUUGUUCCAACACCUAUUCUCCAAUAUCCGGAUCUGUUAUUAACUCAAGAGUAAACCUACCUGUACAGGCUCUGUAGUCCUGAAUUCAUAUUGAUCUGUUAACUCUGUACAGUGUCCCUUUCAACAUAACUUAGUGAAAAUUAACCAAAAAAAGAAAACGAAAAUUGAUCCGUCAUCCUAACAAUUCACGACUAUUCUUAGCCCUUAUGCAUCUCCAGCCUCAAGCUCUUCUAGCAGUUUACGACUUUUUGCAGACAUGAGAUGAAGUCCAUUUUGAUCCACAUCUGUAGCAGAAUUCAUAGCUGCAGCGACAAGUGAUGUGAAUACAACCCUCGAUUUUUUCCACGUGCAUUUUGCAACUAGGACAUUUCUGCCAGCUUUUCUUCUUAGCGAGUAGCUUGAACAGACCAUCAUCCUUUCCUCCCUUCUUGGCAUUCAGCUUCUGGAACUCCUUGCAUUUAAAUUCUGAAUGCCAUGGCACAUGACAUUGUGCACAGAAUGAUCUCCGGCAUGCAGGACACUUUAUCUCCUUUAUGACUUCCCCAGAAUCGUGUAUCAACAUGGCUGAACAAUCACGGAAAGGACAGAACAAUUUCUGAGAGUUGGGGAUCAAUGACUGACAUAGGAACUCAUCCCACUUAACCAGGACAUCUUUCGGGAUCAUCAGCCUACAUAUGUUAAAAUCUAAUGUUGCCUUGCAAUCUGCUCCUGGACAACUAAUGAUUUUCAAGUUGUCUUGGAUCUUUGCCACAAUAUGCUGACUUGUGCAUUCAUAACAAAACGAAUGGUCACAAGUAUCAUUUCUGAACAUCUCCCAACUUUCUUUAGCUUCCAUACAUAUUCCACAGAAGAUUUGGGAUGCAUUAUCCACAUCAUUAUCAAUCUUGACUUGCCUUGAAUCCACGUCUUCUAUCCUUCCUUGGCUAGAUGAAGAUGCAGUACUUGCAGUAUCAGAAGAGAGAGAGGCUAGCAAAACUUCCUGGAUCUGCAAUUCCAUCGAGUACUUGGAAUCUGAAAAAUGAAAACCCACCAUUUUUUUCUACCAUACAACCGAAAACAAGUCAAAGAAUCAAAUAACAGAAACUAAAUUGCUUGCAGAAAAAAUAUUGUUCCUUUCUCAGCUUAUCCUUUCACUAUCUUCCUGUCAUUUCAAUUGAAGAGAAAGAAAGCAACAAAAGGCUGGUGGAGUGGUAAGCUUUUGUGCAUAAGAACCAACAACAAGUAACACUUUGCAAACAACAUUAAAAAGCAUCUGAUACAGGAGAUUGCAGUUUUGCAUACGGCAAUAAACCUGACAUUGUUUCUGCCUCUCAUUACAUGGACAAACCAUAACCACUGAAGGCAAAUGUAGAUGCAGCUGAAAUUUCAUAAAAAGACUAAAUCAAAGGCAUAACCUUCAAAUUCAACAAGCUAAAUUUAAACUUCCUCCAUCGAGGCAUUUUUAAUGAGGGAGCUGAUUAUAGUGAAAGCUGAAGCUGGCUGAUGAGGCAAAGAAAAAAAAUUGGCUCCCUGAAUUGGUUUUUGAGCAAACACUUGCAAGCAGGAUUUUAAUAGGUGAUUGUAGCUCUGGUUCAUAAAAUUGCAAAUUCCUGUUUGUGAUCCAUCAUCCUCACCCUCCACCACCCCCCACCACCACCACCAAAAGCACAAAUAACGUUAUCAAAUCAUAAGUAUCCUAGAAUAGCGAGCAUUUCAUUUUACUGCAUUGUAGUACUAAAAGUUGUUCAAAGCCUUCAUCCUUUUGAAAAUACAGCUCACGUCACGGUACUUAAUCUCGGUCAUGUCCUUUAAACAGACUGUGAUUCUAAGACAAAAAAUUUGUAGCUAGCAAAACAAAACUGCAAAAGUACAUCCCCACUGACAAGUUUUGCUGCAAGGCAGUACUUUGUUCUAGAUAGUACAAAAAUUACCAAGAACAGAACAUAUAAAGAUCAUAACAGGAAAUAACAAAGAAAAGGGAAAAAAAUUGAAGCUGCGAAAUUGUACCAUCAACAACCAAAUUCACCUACAAACCAUGGGAAUAAGCACAGAAAUUUAAAAAAAAAAAAUCCAUUUUUGUGUUUUAAUUUUUCAAGAAUGAAUUAAAAGUAUCACUUAAGUCCCAAAACAGAAGAACAAAUUAAAUGAUACCAUCAAACACAUGGUUCCCAUUAUAUUUCCGGUGCAAAGUUUCCGAGGGGUCUCCAGCAGGGACCUUCUUGAUUGUCUUCUUCUUCUGCACAUUUUUGUUAGAAAAAAGAAGCCACACGGGUGCCGUGGCAGCUAGAAGGAAGAAGAUGAAGGGGAUGGACCAAAUAAAGAUCGUCUGCAGGUAUAGGGAAACGCCGAAGUUGGACAACAUCUGCCGGAAAUUGCUGACGUUAGAGUGGAUUGAACUGAGCAGAGCGUAGUAGCUGUCCAUAGUGAAGACUUCGAGCAGCAGUUUUGCACAGAAUAUUUUCGGAAUUGGGAGUCCCAAUGUUUACAAGAGGGGAGUUUUGGCUGUAAUCUCUACUAUCAUUUAAUUAGUGGCAAGUUUCCGUAAAAAAGAAAAAAUAAAUAAAGGUAAACCUUGUGCUAAAUAAAUGCCAAGAAUUCCAAUCCCAAUAAUUGAAUUAUUUAAUUAAUGAGGUAUAUUACACUAAACAAGCACUAGAAACAUGUUCUUAAAGAGAAACAAGCACUAGAAACAUUUUCUUAAAUAGAAAUAUUUACCUAUUGUACAAUUAAAUGACUAGAUUCUUUUUUGGGAAAUAGCUAACUAGAUUCUAAAGCUAGGAUCUUGUUUUUUUUUUUUUCCUAAAUGGCCUUUUGUUCUUUUCAACUUCUAAAUUUGUUUUUUCCUUUAGAUAGAUUUUUCCUUUUUUUUUGGUUCAAAGGGACGCUCCAAACAAAAAAUGUGAGAGAAUUUGAUAGUCGAAUCACAGGUAUCGUGCUAGGGGCGGCAAUUCGGGUCCAAAUCAGGUUGGGGAAUCGGGUCUGACCCGACCCGUCAGAAAAUUUAUUGACCCGAACCUGACCCGUCAACCCGUGACAGGUCAGGUAUAUUGAUCCGAACCCGAAAAUUUCAGGUUGGCGGGUCGACCCGAAAUUUAAUUUUAAUUUAUUAAUUUAUCACUGUAAUUUCUAAUAAAAUUAAUUUCUCACAAAACUAAUUACAUAAUCAAGUAAUAAAAAUUUAAAUAAAUAAUUCCAAACCAAAUCUAAAAUAAAUUAAACACCGUAAAAGUGUUUUAUCCCAAACAAAAUAUAAAAUAAAUUAAAACAGUAUAAAAGUAAAAAAUAAUAUAAUAUAUUAUUUGUCCAAAUAUAAUAAUUUCAACUUCACACAAAUUAAAUAAAUUCAUUUACGAUUAAAUAAUUAAUGCCUUUGAAAAAAAGAAUAACUUAGUUUAGUUAGAUAAAAUUAUUUUUAUGUUUAUUAAAUUUUUUUAAUUUAUAAACGGGUCAUAUCGGGUCAUAUCAGGUCACCACGAAUUGACCCGAAAUUGACCUGUUUUCUUUUCGGGUUCAUCGGGUUCAACCCGAUUCUGACCCAAAUUCCCGAAACCUCAACUCAAACCCAUUAAUUUCAUGUUAGGUUCGUGUCGUGUUUUCAAGUCGUGUCGAAAAUUGCCACCCCUAGGUAUCAUGAUCACUUGACUAAUGUUUUUAAUAGUUAGGUUGAAUCUUGAUGGCCUUUUAUAUAGAUUUCGUAAUUUGUCUUUCAGAUGUACAUGGAUUUAGCUAUUAUUACAUGAUAUUAAUAUCAUGUUUAUGAGGAAGUUACAAGUCACAAUAGUACUUGUCUGAUAAUGAAGGCCACAAAACUAAGGUCUUAAUCGAAACAUCACCUAACAACCUGUGGUAGGUACCAUGAUUCAGAAAGUAGUUGUCCAUCAUGAUAAUGGCUGGAAAAAGCAAACUAUCAUCAACAGUAAUAAAUUCCCCUAAUCAAAGUCAAAUUUCAAAGAACUUAAAUAAUAAUAAUAAUAAAAAAAAAGGCUGUGACUUGUUAGAGAAGGAAACUUCUGCAAAAAAGGAAUGAUAUGUGACAUCAAUUCAAAGUUAAUUAGAAUUGUGAAGUAUUAGAGGUCAAGGUUAACUAAUAAUUAAAGACUUAAGAGUACACAUCCUGUCCUUGCAUCAUGUGGCAUUAGGCAUAUCAAAGACCGCAGAAACACAAGUAGUCGUAUAAUUAUUUUCUAGGAGGGAAAAUCGUCCAAAACAUCUCUCACAUUUUAUAAAAUAAUUUUUUUUCGUCCCUCACUUUUAAAAGUGUAAUUUUAUGUCAUUUACAUAUUUACAUCGGUCAAAUUUAGUCCCUAAUUAGGUUUCCGAUCAUUUUUUGGCCGGAAUCCAUUAUGUGCAAGGCACGUGAUCAUUUUUGAAGGGUAAAUUUGUCAAAUUAUAUUUUACAUAAUCUGAUUUAUAGUCCUCCACAUUUUAUAAAAUACCCUCACAUUUUAUAAAAUGAUUUUUUUCAUCCCUCACAUUUCACAAAAUGAAUUUCUCCAUCCCUCACAUUUCAAAAAAUGAAUAUUUAAAUCCCUCACUAAUUCAUUUUGAAAUGAAAAAUUCAUUUUUAGAAAUGUGAGGGAUGGAGAAAUUCAUUUUGUGAAAUGUGAGGGAUGAAAAAAUUAUUUUAUAAAAUGUGAGGGACGAAAAAAUUUGUUUUAUAAAAUGUGGAGAACUAUAGAUGAGAUUAUGUAAAACAUAAUUUGAUAAAUUUAUCCUUCAAAAAUAAUCACGUGCCUUGCACGUAAUGGAUUCCGGCCAAAAAAUGAUCGGAAACCUAGUUAGGGACUAAAUUUGAUCGAUGUGAAUAUGUAAAGGAUAUAAAAUUACACUUUUAAAAAUAAGGAAUAAAAAAAAUCAUUUUAUAAAAUAUGAUGGACGUUUUAGACGAUUUUCCCUUUCCAGAAACAGUUCAAUUAAGGAAGAAGAAUCUCUUGUGCGAAAGAGUAAAAAGCAGAAAACAAACAAGAAGGAAGAAAAGGGGAAAAGAACAAAAACGAGGAACAGAGAAGAAAAAGAGUCCCAAACGUAUAAGUAGAACUAAUUUUCACGUGUUUGGUUUGGUAAGACGUUGCAUCUGCCAUUUAUCCGAAACCAGAGUCUCAGAGCAGCCAGGACUCGCAAAAUAAUUACAUCAGAUUUUAAUGAACGAAACUUCUUUUAUUGGGUUGUGAAUUGAUGACUGGUGCAACUGCUUUACCAAAAUUGCAACUGUUGCGAAUAUGAAAGAGCCAAAGCUGAGUUGCUGGAAUUAUAUAUAUAUGUAUAUAUAUAUAUAUAUAUAUAUAUAUGGUACAGAUUUAUAGGUAUUUUUUACAAAAAGAAAAGAAGGUACGUUGAACAAACUGCACCCUCAAAUGAAUAUAAUAAAAAUGCACCCCCAAAUAUUACAUGUUUCUCACUUUCCCCUACUCCUCUUGGUCUGGUUAGGUUAAUUUUCAGCUGUCAAACUUUGCAGCUUUACCCAAUUCGAUGCUGAUCAACUAUGAAAAGUACAAUCUAGUCAUCAUUUCAGAUGGAUGUGUUGCACAUUUGCACGAAAAUAACAUAUGUGCCUUGAUAAAAUGUAUUAAUACUUUGGCUAAACCUGUGAUGAUGAAAAGACAACUAUAUAAUUUUCAUAACAAAUAUACAAGGAAAAUCCUUUUCUAAACGAUAUACGACUUACAUGUAAAACAUUUAAUCAAUGAUGGCUCAUUUCCUAGGCAUAUCAUAUUUUUUAAAGUUGCUUUUUUGUAAAAUUGUUUACAACGUACUUCACGUUUUGUCAAAUGAAUAUUUUCGUCAUUUACUUUUAAAAAACUGAUCUUAUGUCCUUAUCUAAAUCAAGUUGUAAAAUUUGAUUCAAAUCUAAAUUUUUGACUAUUUUUUAGUCUGAAUCCAAUGCAUAACAGGCACAUAAUCAUUUUUUAAGUGUAAAAACAUUCAAUCCCAUAUUUUGUUAUACAAAUUACCCACCUCAUAUUCCUUUUCAUGUUUGUGGAUAAACAAAUGACCCGACCCACAAUCAUUUUUACUCUUAAAAUACUAAGAUUUGAUCUUUUUACACCUAAAAAAAUGAUUACAUCCGGAUCAUAUGAUAGAUUCAGGCUAAAAAAUGAUCGAAAACCUAGGUUAACGACAAAUUUGACUCAAUUGAUUUUUAAAGUGAUGUACAAUAGUAUUUUAAAAAUAAUGGAUAAAAAUAAUGCACGAAUGUUUUGAACGAUUUUUCUAACUCUAAAUAUAAAUAUGCGAAAACUAUCUUUUGUGGACAAAUGCGCGGAAGAUUUACAUGCCAAAGUCCAGAAGCCUCUACGACGAUGGUCUACUUUGUUGUAACCAAGCCCAAUUACCUAUCCUUUACAGACCGACAACACAAAGCCCAAUUGAAUUUACUAGAUCAGUUUGUGGAUUUUAUGGAGCCUAUUUUGGUAUUCUUUUUUUUUUUUUAGGGUAACAAUAAUAUUUUUAUAAUUUAAUAUAUCCUAAUUUAUCGAGAAGGGAGUCUAAAGAGACUGUAUAUAAGGGUAAUAGGAAAGGAUGUUCUAGCAUAUCGUUUAAAUUUUUUUCACUGUAGGUAAGGCAAAUGGGGUUCAAACCCAUGUAGUUCAAAAAGGGAUUUAGUCCCUUUUUAGUGAUUACUGAACCAAAACUCAGUGUUUUAUUUCGAUAUUCAUCAGGCUAUAAACUAACAGAGAACUAUUCUAUAUUCCUUUUGGGAAAUGUUACUAGCAAUUCUAAAAAUGUCUAACACUCCAUCCCUUUUUAUACUUUCAAAGGGAGGAUGGAGUGUUAGAGAUUUUUUUUUUUUAAUGCUAAUAUCAUUUUUUUUGUCUUAAUUUUGGAAGGCUUGCAGCCAAUUUACAUGAUUGUCUACACCCCCGAUCUCUUUGUCUGAAUUCUCGUCCUUCGUAGUUGAAUACUCGAAUUUAUUAAUGUUUUGAUUCUUGAAUGUGGGUGGUGCUGCUUCUUGGGAGGUUCCACUUAGAAUUUCUCCGGAUUAAAUGUUUCAAGUUUAAUUAACCAUUUUAAGCUUUUAUUCUAGGUGCUUGAGCGAGAUAAAUAGCUAGGUUCCAUCUUUCCUCUCACAUUUGAUUAGUCAUGAAAAUUGUAAAUUGCAAAUCCCUCAGUCUACCGUAAGCACAUUGUCAUGUUUUUCUAAUCUGACAUGGAUAUGUAUACCUUGAACAAGAGAGUUGCUAUCUUAUGGUCGUUGAAAAACGUUGGUUCUCAACUUGAUUUUCAUGUUAUGAGUUAAUCACAAGAACUCCCCCUACGGUCAGAUAUGUAGUUUAUCCUCUAAAUUUUAUUUUUUUUCCUUAAUUACUUUACCCUCUAAGAGACAAAAUUAUCCCUCUAUUUUUAAAUUAAUUUUAUUUUUAAAUUUUCAUUUUUGAGCAACUCUAUCAAUUAGUUAUUGAGAUUAUUUUUUUAAAAAAAAAAUUUUGAGCUCAAGAGAGAACUCUAAGCUCUAUAAUAAGGAAUGAAGAAAAGGCGUUCAAGUAUAGAACUCACAAUCACCUUGCUAAUAUUUCUAUCAAUUGAGUUGGGUGUUGAUCAAAGUUGAAAUAUAUUUUUGAUUGAUUGCAUUUAGUAAAUUGUACUCUCAAGGUAUGUAAAAUCCUUGUUCAUGUUGCUCGAGUUCACACAUAUUGAAAAAUAAAAUACCCGAAUAUUUUGAUGAAUUUCAUCAGCGUUCACACAUGUUAUAACAAUAGAAGCUCAUAUUGAAAUUGUUUUCUAGAUCCCAACUAAAGUCAAAGUCAUCUCUGAGUCAACUAUCGCUCGUUUGCAUUAUUAUUUUUUAGAAUUUUUGUAAAAAAUAUAUACUAUAAUAAUUUGAUAUAUAUAUAUAUAUAUAUAUAUGAGGUAAAAAAAAUGAUUACAAAUAUAUUUACGAAAACGUAAACAUUUUUUUUGGAAGAAAAUGGCAAUUCAAACAUGAACAUGCAUUUUUCCCACGAUACAUGCAAAGACUGAUUAUAAUCAAGACCUUCACAACCCACGUCAAUUAGCAUAGGAAUCUUGCCAAGUGCACAAAAAUAAGAGGAACCAAUUCCAAACUAAUUACCGCGCUGAACUUUUCCACAUUUAUCUUUCGCCUAUAUAAACUUGUUUUUCCUGCAACAAACCAUGCAGAUCAAGUUCAUUACCUAACAUCCUCUAAUAUUGCUAAUAGUAACUCAAAUAUUUCUUUCCUAUCUUGAAAUACCAGUACUUCUUCUUCAACAUUAGAUUCCACCCGGCCAAAUCAUCAGCCACCAUGGCUGAUUGUCGGGAUUUCCAUCUCAUAAUAAUUUCUGCACUUGAUCUCUGAAAGAUGUCCGACAUUUUGGAGAGAUGAAAGAUUGUGCAAAGGUUUUGAUCAGUCGAAACUCAGAAGGUUUAGAGUGGUAUACUACUGUGGACAAGCAAGGACAGACCGACCCUAAUUGGUACACUCCUGUCCACUGCUUAAUCCCUGAGGAUGCUGUCCAGCAGGCGGGUCAACGAGAUAAACUAAAACUUGUCAUCAAAUAUUUUGGUGAAGUGAACAUAUUUUUGAAGGAACUUUUUGAUGAACAGGAGGAAGAAGAAAAGGAAGAAUAUUGAAUGAGCUUUUGUUCUCAUGCUUGCAGCUAUUAUUGAAAGUCGAGCUAAUGUUUUGAUUCGAUUUGUGUCUCCCCGUUGAUGAACCUGGUUUCGAUAGGCUGUUUAGGCUGUUUGAUGUUUUGACUUCUAAACGAAGAGGUAAUAUGUUCAGAGAAUACCGCAGUUAUUGCAUUAACACAUUCAGUUUCCCUCUUUUGGCUCAUCCUACAUUUCAGAGAAGGAUUAUCAAGAGUGCCAAAAUAUACAAGUUUACGGGGAUCUGUCGAUUUAAAGGCUGUAACUUUGUGAAUUGAUCAUGGCUCUUUAGAGGAUUCCUCAACAUUUCUCUCCCCAAUCAGGAAUAACUAUAUGGGAAGUUACGAAAUCAACAACCACAGCGACACAUCCACUAGAAAGCUACGUUUAGAGACUUCAAAAGCUACAACAAAAGUGGAGUUUCUUCGAUUUUCCACGUUGAGAAGUAGUAUUAAAAUAAGCAAGAACGUAUUACCACCCGGCAUUUCUCUGAGAAACAACUAAUCAACAAAUUUUUAGCCCACUUGAGCACAAUUUAUAAAAUUCCUUAGGCCCAAAUUAGAAGAUUGAAUCCUCUUUGCAACAAUUAAAUUCUCAGUUUCUCCGUCUCUCGUGGCUCACUAGGCAAUUGCCUUUUUUUUUUUUUCUUGCUUUAACGCUUCAUGGAUUUUGGUACUGACAUCAACCAUAGCUAAGCAGUCUCAGUCUUUUUGCUCUAUUGAAGAGGUCCCUCUCAAGGUGUGUCUUGUCAAGUUAGCUGGUCUAGGGAGUGCCAAUUCGAUUUCUCGUACUACACUGAAAUUGGUUGCAAAUUGCAAGAAGCUGGGGUGCAUUGAGAAUAUUGACAUCUCUGAAUGGUUAGUCGAUUUUGGGCCCUUAUAGGCCAUUGGAAGUUUUUAACACUUGAUGAUACUUUGUUGAUCAAUAAUGAGCUUCCGCAUUCUAAUUUAUGGAUGCUACAUUUGGAUUGAAUAAUUUGACGAAGGAUUUGAAUCAAAUCCUUCAUGUUGCUUGGAUCAUUUGGACGGGGUUUGGAUUUGUUAUCCACCAAUUACUUAAAUACAUUUGAACACUAAAAUAAUUGACGGAUUACAAAUUCAAGUACCUCCCAAGUCAUCCAAACUACUUAGAGGGAUUUGAGAGGAAUUUAAACUUUUACUCAAAUCCCUCAAUCCAAACGCACAAGUCUGUUAAACGAGCCAAAAUUGUGUUCAUCUAUAAUAUACUCCUAGUACGAACUUCCCAGUACUUGCUCCACCUAGAAUUGAAAGCCAACCAGCCAGAGUCAAAGUGGGACGAAAUUGAUUACUGGAGGUGGAGGGAGAGGAAUGGGAGAGGGAGGGCAUCAACCACCAAUCAUCCAUUUUGACACUGAAUGCUAUAAUCAAAGAUGCAAUCUCAUAUUCCGGGUUCGUAGGAGAAGUAAGAAAAUCCUAACACAUGGCCAAGACGCUACCUGGAAGUGGAACUAUAUGCACGCAGCAAUGCCCUCCGGCAUUAUAGUGAAGUGGAACCAAUUUCUACAUUUUCUGUUUUAGGAGGGUGGUAAGAAAAUCAAGAAGACACUGGCAAAGUCUGCAUUCUUGUAGAAAAAGAGAAAAUUUGUCACUUUAAAAGUCAUAACCAGAUUUGCUGCAGCAACUUGCAAAGUUAUUUACUCCAGCAGACCUUACCAAAGUUUGAACAGCAUCAGGAUAAACGCAAUACCCAAACAAACUACCAACAGGGGAAUCCUCUGUUGAGAUCAACUACUUAAAUCUCUAACAGGAGUACAGUACAUGGACCUUUUGUAAACAGCAGCAGCAGCUCAGUAACCUCAGUUCUUGGCUUUGAUGGAAUUAUUUUCCUUGAUCCUUGCU
rnacentral:lncRNA from 1 species